GAUGAACGCUGGCGGCGUGCCUAAUACAUGCAAGUCGAGCGAACAGAUGAGGAGCUUGCUCCUCUGAUGUUAGCGGCGGACGGGUGAGUAACACGUGGAUAACCUACCUAUAAGACUGGGAUAACUUCGGGAAACCGGAGCUAAUACCGGAUAAUAUAUUGAACCGCAUGGUUCAAUAGUGAAAGACGGUUUUGCUGUCACUUAUAGAUGGAUCCGCGCCGCAUUAGCUAGUUGGUAAGGUAACGGCUUACCAAGGCAACGAUGCGUAGCCGACCUGAGAGGGUGAUCGGCCACACUGGAACUGAGACACGGUCCAGACUCCUACGGGAGGCAGCAGUAGGGAAUCUUCCGCAAUGGGCGAAAGCCUGACGGAGCAACGCCGCGUGAGUGAUGAAGGUCUUCGGAUCGUAAAACUCUGUUAUUAGGGAAGAACAAAUGUGUAAGUAACUAUGCACAUCUUGACGGUACCUAAUCAGAAAGCCACGGCUAACUACGUG
rnacentral:rRNA from 1 species